rnacentral:rRNA from 1 species
CCUACGGGAGGCAGCAGUGGGGGAUAUUGCACAAUGGGGGAAACCCUGAUGCAGCGACGCCGCGUGUGGGAAGACGGUCCUCUGGAUUGUAAACCACUGUCCCCAGGGACGAAGAUGACGGUACCUGGGGAGGAAGCUCCGGCUAACUACGUGCCAGCAGCCGCGGUAAUACGUAGGGAGCGAGCGUUGUCCGGAAUUACUGGGUGAAAAGGGAGCGUAGGCGGGACUGCAAGUUGGGUGUCAAAUCUACCGGCUCAACCGGUAGCCGCACUCAAAACUGCAGUUCUUGAGUGAAGUAGAGGCAAGCGGAAUUCCUAGUGUAGCGGUGAAAUGCGUAGAUAUUAGGAGGAACACCAGUGGCGAAGGCGGCCUGCUGGGCUUUUACUGACGCUGAGGCUCGAAAGUGUGGGGAGCAAACAGGAUUAGAUACCCCAGUAGUC